AGCAGCCGCGGUAAUUCCAGCUCCAAUAGCGUAUAUUAAAGUUGUUGCAGUUAAAAAGCUCGUAGUUGAAUUUCGGGAUCAAUACGUCGGUCGUGCCUCUGGUAUGUACUGGCGUUAUUGAUUUCUCCUUUCUGAUGAACCAUGAUGUCAUUAAUUUGGUGUCGUGGGAAGUCAGGACUGUUACUUUGAAAAAUUAGAGUGUUUAAAGCAGGCAUACGCUUGAAUACAUUAGCAUGGAAUAAUGAAAUAGGACGUUCGAACCUAUUUUGUUGGUUUCUAGGAUCAACGUAAUGAUUAAUAGGGAUAGUUGGGGGCAUUAGUAUUCAAUUGUCAGAGGUGAAAUUCUUGGAUUUAUUGAAGACUAACUACUGCGAAAGCAUUUGCCAAGGAUGUUUUCAUUAAUCAAGAACGAAAGUUAGGGGAUCGAAGACGAUCAGAUACCGUCGUAGUCCUAACCAUAAACUAUGCCGACUAGGGAUCGGAUGAUGUUAAUUUUUCUGACUCGUUCGGUCG
rnacentral:rRNA from 1 species